rnacentral:lncRNA from 1 species
UAACAUUCUGCUUGUCUUCUCUGCAGUAGCAAGGGGAACGAGCAUGCCCCAGAAUACGUGGGAAACCUGUGCAAACUGGUCCUAGGUUUGUAAAAAACAACAACAACAACAAUUGGCUGCAUACUGACCCGGCUUGAAGAAGACAAGAUUUGGAGUCACAGCUCUGUCCAGGCACAAAAGUGUUGCUGUCACCUACGCCCACUUUACUGCUAUCCUCUGGCAUUCGAGAGAAUUUCCCUUCCAAGAACACUGAAGAAAAAUUAAUCAAGUUGUUUGAAAUUAAGGCAGCAUUCUGCAUUAUGAAAGAAUUGCCCUUGUGAUAUACUCACGACUAUAGAUCCAUUCAUGGGGAUGCACUGAUAGUCCUCUGGAAGGGUGACGAUGGUGGUAAAAAAGAUGGAGAGAAAGCUGAUGAACUCA